AGUGUUGAUCUCUCGGGUGCAUACUUGGACUACCUCCUCGUGGAGAUGUUAUAGGUCAGUUUGUCGGUGCUUAAUCACUGCGCCUUAAGCAUGAGUCAUGUAUCCGGACCAACUUGGUUGUUGAAGGGAAAGACAUGAUGUAUUUUUUAAUAUCGUCAAGCCUCUUAUAAUCUUCCGUAAUCUCUUCCAUCUCUCUAUCGGUUGAGCUCAUCUAUGAAAGGUAGUAGAGUUAAUAAAAAACUUAGUCAGCAGCAUUCUAUUAAAUUCACUUACCUGAGAGCUUCCUACCAUGUCAAUCUGUUUAUUAUCAUUUUCUUUAAUCUCUUCCACCUCUCCGUCGAUUGAGCUCAUCUAUGAACAGUAGCCAUUGAGUUAAAAAGGUAGUCACCAAGAUGAUGGAUUGUUUUUUUAAAUGUAAUGUGAUAAUGUUGAUAACAUCAUUUUCUAUUCAUUGCAUCACCUGAGCACUGCAUGCUGUUUCACUCUGUUUCAUAUCAUUUUCCUGAAUCUCUCCCAUCUCAACAUCGGUUGAGGUCAUCUAUGAAAGAUAGUAGAGUUAAAAAAAAGUAAGUCAGCAACAUUCUGAAUUGCUUUAUUUAAAUGGUAUGUGGUAAUGUGCAUUACCAUCAUUUUCUAUUCAAUUCACUUACCUGAGCGUUGCCUACCAUGUCAAUCUGUUUAUUAUCAUUUUCUUUUAUCUUUCCCACCUCUCCGUCGGGUGAGCUCAUCUAUGAACAGUAGCCAUAGAGUUAAAAAAAGAUAGUCAGCAAGAUGAUGGAUUGUUUUUUUUUAAAUGGGAUGUGAUAAUGUGCAAUAACAUCAUUUUUCAUUGCCUUACCUGAGCGAUGGAUGCCGUUUCACUCUGUUUCAUAUCAGUUAGCUGAAUCUCUCCCAUCUCAACAUUGGUUGAGCUCAUCUAUGCAAAGUAGUCAUAGAGUUAAAAAUUAAAAAGUUAGUCAGCAAUAUGAUGAAUUUAUUUUUAUAUACUGGCAGAUGUAAUGUUCACAUAAAAGUAGGUCGGAUUCCAUACAUGCAUAUAACAAUAAACUGAACAUUGAAGAGAGUAGAAACAGCAUACGACCUACUGGUUUAUGCCUACUAUCAGAGUAGAAACAGCUACAGUUGUAUCCAUAAUUUUAAUAUAUCAUAAUAUUUUGUUGCCAAAGACAUAUUGUUCUACUGAUGUAUUUACCAUUGCCUUCUAAUAUGCUACUCAUAGUAAUGGUAAAGCAGCAGUAGCAAGCUCUCUCAUCUCUCUCUCAAACAAGAGCAGCAACAAACAAUAGUGACUCUUAUUCUCUAAUUCAACAAUUAAAUUACGAUAAUUGCUGCAUCUCAAUUAUAGAAUUUUUAAAAAUUGAGACACGUAGUAAUGGAAAUUUAGAUGUCUAAGUAGAUCUGCUAAUUUUUAAGUUUACUGUAGUCAAGAUGCAGACAUAUAGUCCAGUUUGUCUUUGAACCAAAUAAAUGCUUGUUCUUGAAAUUUCGAAUCAAACAGGGGAUGAUACAGCUAAUCAGGCAUCUAAAUUUCACCUAAUUAAAGAACAGAUUUAGACCAUGAAAGCCAAUAGAUGGCUAAUGAACAUAUUUAGACCAUGAAAGCCAUUACAUGGGGCUAGGAUUAAUUUUACUUGGUGUACAUUUGGUUUAUAACAACACAAAUGAAUGGAGAGAGGGUGAUGAUGCGUCAGCUUGUAUUAUAGAGAUUUGAUUACAUACCUUGAACGAGAUGAACUUCUCUGCAGGUCCGACUUUUGAUGUCCCUUGAAAACUUGUUUGAAGAAUGGGCAGGUUAAAAUCUGGAUAGAUGAGAUCUCUCCCCGGCGGUGCUUGAGGGUACCCUUUAUAUGUCUGCUUCCUUAUCGCAAUUUUGGUAGAUGUUUUAAUUACCAUUACAAUAGCAGGAUGCUGGGUAUCUCCGGAUACCAUUUUUUAUGUGUGCACAAUUAUCGUAAAUUAAGUAAUUACAUAAUCACCAAAUCCAUAGCGUGAUUUAUGGGUUGAGUUGAUUUCAGCAUCCGGAGAUCCUAUAGCCAAUCUCGUGACUUACUCAUUGAUUUGAUCCACGUAACUUUUGGGUUUAUUAAAUGAGAGCAUCUUGAGAUACUAUUUGGUUCGAGUUGAAUUAUUCAGUGAUUUGAUCCACGUAAUUUUUGGGUUUAUUAAAUGAGUGCAUCCGCAGAUACUAUUUGGGUUAUUAAAUGAGAGCAUCCGGAGAUACUGUUUGGGUCGAGUUGACUUACGCAUUGAUUUGAUCCACAUAAAUUUUGGGUUUAUUAAAUGAGAUGCUUUAUUACAAAUAUUUUAUUUUAUUUAAAUUUGUCUACUAUUGUAUGCCGGUUUUUGCUUAGUAUAAAAUGUUGAAGGUUAUUUUUGCCUCUUUGUCUUAGUCCACGUAUUGGCUAUUUUUGCCUUGGAAGCUCUACCAGUUUUGCUCACAUGUGUUUCCUAGAAGGUUAAGUUUUAUUGAUGCAUGUUUUCCUUUCAUAAUGUGUCGCAGGGAUAAAAAAGAUUAUAAGCCAAAUCCCCUACUUGACAAGAAUUACAAAGUAUUUCGUUAUAACAAUAAUCCAUGACCACAUAUGAGUCUUUGUUGUUUAUGAGAAUAGGAACCCAUCUCAUGUACUCAUUGCCUUCCGAGACGUAGGGUUUUAUAGAAACCCAUUUUCAUAUAGGAAUAACUAAUUAUAACUAAUUGGUAAAAAAGAUGUCUGCUUGCCGUACAUCCACACCAAGGCCAUAGCACCCAUGUAGCGACGCCUCUUUUCACGUGGACCACCGAUAAAUGUUCCCGGCAACAUUGUACGCUUUACAAUAGCAUCAGCACUACCCUGAACAUCCGUUGAGCUCACCUAUGAACAUGUGGUAGUCAUAGAGUUAAAAAAAUAGUAAAGAUAGUCAUCUAGAUGAUGAUUGCCUUGACAUGCAUUAACAUCAUAAAUUGAACGGUAUCAUAGAGUUAAAAAAAGAGCAUAAGCAAGAUGAUGAAUUGCCUUACCUGAGCGCUGUCUCCUGAUUCACUCUCUUUCUUAUCAUUUUCCACAAUCUCUCCCAUCUGAAUAUCAAUUAAACACAUAUGUGAAAGGUAGUCAUGGAGUUAAAAAAUAAUAAGAUAGUUAGGAACAUGAUGAAUUAGUUUGUGCAUAGUUUAAUUUAUACUGCUGUAUUUCUUCUCUAAUUCGUAAGUUUACCCCUAGUCGCAAACUUUGACGAUGUGGAGAUGUGCCAUGUUAUCAAGGCGGCCGCGGCCGGGCGUGCAUCCGGCACACUCGGCUUCAAGGAGCCCAAAGAUGGGGCAGGUACGGAUUAAACUACCUUAUCAAUGCAUAUAUAUAUCACCAUGGACCUUCUUCGACUGUCUUUCAAGUUGUUAGGAUUCUAGACAGCCUGACCUUCAACAAUUUGGACUUGACCAACGACGUGCAACCUGGGAUGAGCCAGAUGUUCAAUGUCUCGAACACGGUGGACAUCAGGAAGUUCCAGAGGAUGGCCUUCGACAGCCAGGAUUACAGCUCUGGGUAUACCCACUCCAAAAUUAAUGUUGGUCUGAUUCUAUGCCUGAGGUUACUUCUGCUAUAGUUAAUUUUAAAUAAGCAUUGGCUGUCGUGUGGACAACUCCUGAGAUCAAGGCAAGAGCGACCAAAGAUUGCUAGAAGACUUGUGGAUUUAAGUCUAGCACCCAAGCGAUGCCCAGCCAGACAUAGCCAUCGAUUGAUGUUUGUGCUCGGCUCAGCGGUCGGCAAACGGUCUAGGUGCCCGCAACUUGAGGUAGCUGUGUGAGUCAGCCGCGUAUGGCUCAGGAUCAGCACCACACACCUUCCUGCCACUAUCUCCGUCGGCCGCCGGAGGCAUGC